AGCUUCAGGUUUUAUCUAUAGCUGGUUGAAGAGCUGCUUUACCUGCAACUUUCAAAUCCUCUGGAAGACAUCAGUUCCUCUUGUCCCAUUGUCCAAGAACCUCUUUCAAUCCUUUCCUCUUAAUGACCCUAAGUUUAUAGACACUGCCCAAAAUGUAACUUGGGUUUAUGCUUGUAUUUCUUUGCUUCUUUCCUUAUUGACGAUACGUAACAUUUAUGCUCUUGAUGCUUCACAUACAUUGUUUUCUUGGAAGGUCUUAUACCCAAAUCAAGCUUCCCAAGGAAAAUCUUUUAGUAUGUCAGAGGUAAGUACCUGUUUGUUAUUGAUUUUAAUUCUAAUAAUUAUAAUUUCUUUAGAUAACAAUUUUUAAUAGUGAUGUUUAAAUGAGCUGACUAAGAUACCAACUGAUGUUAAAGUAUGUGGAGUUUAAAUACUCAAAUUUUUGCACAAAAUAUUAUAAAAACAAGUUAAUACUUCAAAAUUCUAAAGUAACAAUCUAUUUUUGAUCAAAUAAGUUUUGGAAACCCAUGUGGCAACUACUUUUUGACCACUAGAGUUAUAAAUUGGCUCAAUUUUAUUAUGUUUUAUAUAUUUUGGACGAGGAUACUUUACUUCAUAUCCUUUAUCUCUUUAUGAUAUUAAAGAAAAAUGCAGUGAUAUAAAGAUAACUUAGUAAUUGUACAGUUAAUAAUAUAAGGCUGAAAGUUGUAAUAAUACCACAAGAAUGUUGUGAAUCAUACCGUAAUUGUGUUUUAAAAAAAUAUUAAUAAAAUUUGUUUUAUUGGUUUCUCAUUUUCAAUAUUUGGUGAAUUAUGAGCUGUAUACAAUGUAAUUUUUUUUCUCAUGUUUUUUUUAGAAGGGACAAGGAGUGGAUAAACAAAUGGAUCUCCAAAUUGAACCCAAUUCUGACACUAGAAAAUCUUGCAUUGGAAACCUUGUUCGCCAACAUAGUGGAAGAAGAGGAGCAAA